rnacentral:rRNA from 1 species
UAUCUCUGUAGAGUCUGCAUAUCAAUAAGCGGAGGAAAAGAAACUAACUAGGAUUCCCUCAGUAACGGCGAGUGAAGCGGGAAGAGCUCAAAUUUGAAAUCUUCAAGGUUCUACCUUGACGAAUUGUAGUUUAAAGAAGUGUUUUCUGUUGGAGUUUUGGUAAAAGUUCUUUGGAAUAGGACAUCAUAGAGGGUGAGAAUCCCGUAUUUGACCAUUAUUUCCAGCUUUGUGAUACACUUUCAAAGAGUCGGAUUGUUUGGGAGUGCAGUCCAAAAUGGGUGGUAAAUUUCAUCUAAAGCUAAAUACUUGGCGAGAGACCGAUAGCGAACAAGUACCGUGAGGGAAAGAUGAAAAGAACUUUGAAAAGAGAGUUAAACAGUACGUGAAAUUGUCAAAAGGGAAGCGUUUGACACCAGUGUUGUUUUCUCGAAAAUCAAUUAAAAAAGGCAGGAUUUUGUGUUGUAUUGACUUUAUCAGCUUUCUGCACUCUUUUCUUGUCUUUUUUAAUGCACUUUUCGUUUAACAAGUCAACAUCAAUUUCUUUUGUUGUAAAAGGGUCAUUGGAAGGUGGCUUUCUUUUCGGAGAAAGUGUUUAUAGCCUUUGGCCUCUGCAAUCGGAGAGAUUGAGGUCUGCAGCGUAGAUCCUUCGGGGUUAGAUACAUUUGUGCUAAGUUAUAGCCUUUCAUAGACAACUUGUUGACUAUGAUCAGUCAUGUAGCUUACUCGCCUAUGCUAUUUUACCUACGCUUAGGAUGUUGACGAUCAGCUGAGCGCG